UGUCAGGGACAUCGGGAGAACCAACUUCUGGAAACUGAGCUGGUCCCCAGGACUGUGUAUUUAGUUUUCAACUGUAAGAAAAGGAAGUCUAUCUGGGAAAGGAGACCUGAGGUGCUGAAAAACAAGGGAAAAAAUGGUCUUGAAAACAAGGAAUCAUAUUUGCCUGUGGAUAUGGAAGAGUUUCAGAUUUGUAAUUAUUGCUGAGCGCAAGAAAACAUCAGGAAGAUUUGUGGUUUAUGGAAGAAUAGG